UACGUAGGGGGCAAGCGUUGUCCGGAUUUAUUGGGCGUAAAGAGCGUGUAGGCGGCCAGACAGGUCUGCUGUGAAAACUCGAGGCUCAACCUCGAGACGCCGGUGGAAACCGUCUGGCUAGAGUCCGGAAGAGGAGAGUGGAAUUCCUGGUGUAGCGGUGAAAUGCGCAGAUAUCAGGAAGAACACCCGUGGCUAAGGCGGCUCUCUAGUACGGUACUGACGCUGAGACGCGAAAGCCGUGGGGAGCGAAGCAGG
rnacentral:rRNA from 1 species